ACCUGGUCCCUUGAAAGCAAUGGCGAGCUCUUCAGGAGCCUUCCUUUGGAAUUGUGUUCUCUUGUGAACAGCUCUGCACCCUCCCCCAUCUUCAACCGCCUUUCCUCCUUUCAGUUAAACAAUGGGAGCCCCUUGCAGGUCAUCUAAAGUCCACGGGUUAUCUUAUCUUUGCAUCAGGAUUUACAACUAAACACAAGUUCUUCCCAACUGAUUUCCCAUGGUAAGAAUUGAACCCAUGGAGUCUUGCAUGGGAGUUUGGCAAGGGACUUAGAGAGGAGAAACAGCCUACAGUAAUAAAAGUGAUUCUGCAUGAAGAGCCACCUCAUCCAGGAGAGACUUAGCACAGCUACUACUGUUGUGGAGCCCCUGGGGACAGAUCUCCCAGCCCAGGAGGCAUAGAGCAAGCACCUAGGAAAGUAACUAACUGAUCCUCUCAGAAAGAGGCUGGCAGAAGCUUGGAAAGGAGAGAAGUGAGGUUGCUCGGUUUGGGGGGUGAGCUGGAAGUGCACGUGUCAUCCUGGCCAAUCCAGAUCAUUACUUUACAGACCUAUCGAUGGGCUCAUGAUCUCACCUUGCUUUCCUGAGAGACCUCCAAACAGUUGAGGACCCACAAAGGCCAGGUCUGCAGAUACCAGAGUUUAGGCUCACAACUCUGCCAGCUUUCCACCAGGAGCAUAGAUGCCACAAGGUUGAAAUAGCACUGCCAUGUCCUAGUGUCCUAGGUGUGACAUAUGGGGGCAGUAGAGAGGUUUCUUCCUGUGUACUUUGGCGUUAUUGGUGCUGGGAGCCUGUUGAGCAGAGUAUAGAGAAUUGUCUCCUGAGAUCACUGGUCAUUUGGAAGUGUCUUGAAGUAAGAGACAGAGAAUCAUAGGGAACAUUCAAUGUUCCAUUGCAACCAAAAUGCAGAAGCAAGAGGCUUUGAAAUUCUUUGGAGGAUGACUUCCUGUGCUGGCUUGAGAAGACCCUUCUGCAUCUAUCUCGUCUCCAAUCCUGGAGUUGCUGUCUUCUCAAGGGCUUGAAUCUCAUUAGCCCAAAGGUGUCAUGAACUUUUUUGUUUCUAUAAAUGUCUAAGUUCACUCUGGGAACAUAAAAUUGAUGAACUGUA